UUUGUUUGUUUUUGGUAAAUAAAUUAAUCUUUAAGAAAAAAAAAACUCGCUAAAUACCAGCAUGAGACCGAUAGUCAACAAGUACCGUAAAGGAAAGUUGAAAAGACCUUUGAAGAGAGAGUUCAAGAGGGUGUGAAACCGUUAAGAGGAAAAAACAAAAAAACUCACAGAGCCUGGCGGUGGUGGCGCACGCCUUUAAUCCUAGCACUUGGGAGGCAGAGGCAGGCAGAUUUCUGAGUUCGAGGCCAGCCUGGUCUACAAAGUGAGUUCCAGGACAGCCAGGACUACAGAGAAACCCUGUCUCAAAAAACAAAAAAAAACUCACAGAGAUCUGUCUCAGCCUCCCAAGUGCUGAGGUCAAAGGCUUGUGACACUGUACCUGACUGAUUAUUAAAUUAUUAUGUGUUUGUUUGCUGUUUAUUGAAGGCCAACUAUAUGUGCUAGGAUAGGCAGCCCCACCAAGGUUUUUUUUUUUUUUUAUAUAA
rnacentral:ncRNA from 1 species